CAGCCGCCACGGUAAUACAGAGGGUGCGAGCGUUAAUCGGAUUUACUGGGCGUAAAGCGUGCGUAGGCGGCUUCUUAAGUCGGAUGUGAAAUCCCUGAGCUUAACUUAGGAAUUGCAUUCGAUACUGGGAAGCUAGAGUAUGGGAGAGGAUGGUAGAAUUCCAGGUGUAGCGGUGAAAUGCAUAGAGAUCUGGAGGAAUACCGAUGGCGAAGGCAGCCAUCUGGCCUAAUACUGACGCUGAGGUACGAAAGCAUGGGGAGCAAACAGGAUUAGAUACCCCAGUAGUCCCUGUCUCUUAUAC
rnacentral:rRNA from 1 species